UAAUACGGAGGGUGCAAGCGUUAUCCGGAUUUAUUGGGUUUAAAGGGUACGUAGGCGGAAUAUUAAGUCAGUGGUGAAAUCCUGCGGCUCAACCGUAGAACUGCCAUUGAUACUGAUAUUCUUGAAUAUAGUUGAGGUAGGCGGAAUGUGUAAUGUAGCGGUGAAAUGCUUAGAUAUUACACAGAACACCGAUUGCGAAGGCAGCUUACUAAACUAUUAUUGACGCUGAUGUACGAAAGCGUGGGGAGCGAACAGGAUUAGAUACCCUGGUAGUCCACGCUGUAAACGAUGAUCACUCGUUGUUUGCGAUAUACCGUAAGCGACUGAGCGAAAGCAUUAAGUGAUCCACCUGGGGAGUACGUUCGCAAGAAUG
rnacentral:rRNA from 1 species